AUAUGACACUUUUAAAAGAUAGUUUAUGAAUGAUGAAAUUCAAAACAUAUUUUGCAUAAGAUAAAUUGUAGCAUAACAUGAUUAUUUUCAUUUUAUAUGUUCUUUAUAAUUCGUUCAAAGAUGGAAAAAAAUUUUCCUUGACAGCUCUAAGAUAAAGAUUAACUUGCGGAGAUAUGGGAUUCAGAAAUAUCAAGUCUGUCAAUUUUACUUCCUAGUCUUCAAUCUUCCUUUGACUGCUAUGUUUUUUCAGGAGACAUCUGGGAAUGCAAUGUGGAAAUCCCACGCAUGCAGCAAAUUAAAGGACGUCUGCUAGCUCAGGCAAAUCAAAGCACGUUUGCUUCGUCAUCGGAGCAGACGAUCGAUCGUAGCGCAUGGCUUUUGACUCAGUGCUGUCGUCUAAGCACGUCUGCGUCGUCGGCGCUGGGCCCACCGGCCUCGUCUCCGCCCGUGAGCUCCUCAGGGAAGGCCACUCCGUCGUCGUGCUAGAGCAGAACCACGACCUCGGCGGCCAGUGGCUCUACCAAGCCGCCUCCGCCACGGCCACAGUCCACAGCAGCGUCUACGCUUCCUUGCGCCUCAACGCCCCUAGAAUUUACAUGGAGUUCACCGACUUCAUGUUCACUCCCGUCGAAGGAAGAGACACCAGGAACUUCCCCGGCCACCGCGAGCUCUUCCUCUACCUCAAAGACUUCGCCCGAUGUUUCGGGUUGACCGAGCUCAUCAGGCUCAACACGGAAGUAGUCCACGUCGGCAUGGCGGCAGAAACUGGCAAAUGGAUUGUGAGAUCAAGGGACAGGAGAACUGAUGACGGUGAGUUCAUGGAAGAGAUCUUUGAUGCGGUUGUCAUCGCCACCGGCCAUUUCUCCCUACCCAGGCUCCCAAAAAUCAGGGGAAUGGAGGAGUGGAAGAGGAAGCAGCUUCACAGCCAUGUCUACAGAGUCCCAGAGCCAUUCCAAGAUGAGGUGGUGGUGGUCGUUGGUGGUUCACUCAGUGGAUCAGAGAUUGCUCUGGAGCUUGUUCAUGUAGCCAAAGAAGUCCAUAUAAGUACUAAACACUCCGAAAUCCCUCAAAAAUUUGUGAAGCCUGUGGCCAAGUAUGCACAUCUGCUCUGGCAUCAACAGAUUGAGUUGCUUUGUGAAGAUGGAACUGUUCUAUUUGCUGAUGGUUCAAGUGUAGUUGCUGAUACUAUUCUCUACUGCACUGGGUAUUCAUAUUCAUUCCCAUUCCUGGACACCAAAGGAGUCAUCCAUGUGGAUGAGAACAGAAUUGGACCUUUGUAUGAACACACAUUUCCUCCCUCUCUCGCUCCAUCCCUUUCUUUUGUUGGGAUUCCAAACAAGUUUAUCAUCUUUCGAUUUUUUGAGUCACAAGGGAGAUGGAUAGCUCAGGUGCUCUCUGGGAAGAGGAAGCUGCCUUCGGCAGAUGAGAUGAUGAAGGCAAUCGAAGAAGUCGAACGCCAUCAAGAGCUUGAGGAACCAAAAAAUUUCAUACAAGUAAUUGCUGAAUUAUUGGAGUACUAUGAUAGGUAUGGAGAUCAAUGUGAUUUUCCACACUUGGAAGAUUGGAGAAAAGAGAUCAGUCUGAAGUUCUUCGAAAAUAGCAUAAACAAUAUUGAAACAUUCAGGGAUGAAUAGUAAGGAUGCUAAUUCAACAGCGGAGAUAUCUGGGAAGCCAAUCCUACUUCUUCUGAGUGGCCAUCGCUACAAAAUCCACAUCGAAGACACUCGAUUCAUCGAGUCAAAUGUGGCUGCUAUAAUAUUCCCUUCGAAGAAGAUUGUAUGUGAUACCGAUAAGGUGGAGAUCACACGCAUGCAGCAAAUUAAAGGUUUGCGUCGUCAUCGGAGCAGACGAUCGAUCGAUGCCCAUGGCUGUUGACUCAUUGCAGUCGUCUAAGCAGGUCUGCGUCGUCGGCGCUGGCCCCUCUGGUCUCAUCUCUGCCCGUGAGCUCCUCAAGGAAGGCCACUCCGUCGUCGUGCUGGAGCAGAACCACGACCUUGGCGGCCAGUGGCUCUAC